rnacentral:rRNA from 1 species
GACUCCUACGGGAGGCAGCAGUGGGGAAUAUUGGACAAUGGGGGCAACCCUGAUCCAGCCAUGCCGCGUGUGUGAAGAAGGCCUUCGGGUUGUAAAGCACUUUAAGCGGGGAGGAAGGCUCUAUGGCUAAUAUCCAUGGGGAUUGACGUUACCCGCAGAAUAAGCACCGGCAAACUUCGUGCCAGCAGCCGCGGUAAUACGAAGGGUGCGAGCGUUAAUCGGAAUUACUGGGCGUAAAGCGCGCGUAGGUGGUUUGAUAAGCGAUAUGUGAAAUCCCCGGGCUUAACCUGGGAACUGCAUGUCGAACUGUCAGGCUAGAGUAUGGUAGAGGGGUGUGGAAUUUCCUGUGUAGCGGUGAAAUGCGUAGAUAUAGGAAGGAACAUCAGUGGCGAAGGCGACACCCUGGACCGAUACUGACACUGAGGCGCGAAAGCGUGGGUAGCGAACAGGAUUAGAUACCCUGGUAGUCCACGCCGUAAACGAUGUCAACUAGCCGUUGGGGGGCUUGUCCCUUCAGUGGCGGAGCUAACGCGAUAAGUUGACCGCCUGGGGAGUACGGCCGCAAGGUUAAAACUCAAAUGAAUUGACGGGGGCCCGCACAAGCGGUGGAGUAUGUGGUUUAAUUCGACGCAACGCGAAAAACCUUACCCGGUCUUGACAUCCUGGGAACUCGCUAGAGAUAGCUUGGUGCCGCAAGGAGCCCAGUGACAGGUGCUGCAUGGCUGUCGUCAGCUCGUGUCGUGAGAUGUUGGGUUAAGUCCCGCAACGAGCGCAACCCUUGUCCUUAGUUGCCAGCAUUCAGUUGGGCACUCUAAGGAGACUGCCGGUGACAAACCGGAGGAAGGUGGGGACGACGUCAAGUCAUCAUGGCCCUUACGACCGGGGCUACACACGUACUACAAUGGAACGUACAGAGGGUCGCAAUGCCGCGAGGCGGAGCCAAUCCCACAAAACGUUUCGUAGUCCGGAUCGGAGUCUGCAACUCGACUCCGUGAAGUCGGAAUCGCUAGUAAUCGCGAAUCAGCAUGUCGCGGUGAAUACGUUCCCGGGCCUUGUACACACCGCCCGUCACACCAUGGGAGUUUACUGCACCAGAAGCCGGUAGCUUAACCGCAAGGGGGGCGCCGUCCACGGUGUGGUCGAUGACUGGGGUG